UACGGAGGGUGCAAGCGUUGUCCGGAUUUAUUGGGUUUAAAGGGUGCGUAGGCGGCCCCUGUAAGUCAGUGGUGAAAUACUGCAGCUUAACUGUAGCAUUGCCAUUGAUACUGUAGGGCUUGAGUACAGAUGAGGUAGGCGGAAUUGAUGGUGUAGCGGUGAAAUGCAUAGAUACCAUCAAGAACACCGAUUGCGAAGGCAGCUUACUAAGCUGUAACUGACGCUGAGGCACGAAAGCGUGGGGAGCAAACGGG
rnacentral:rRNA from 1 species